AAAGCCAUCUCUGCAAGGGAGCUAGCACCCCGGGGAGAUACGAAGGCUUCGACCGGUUCAAUACUUUGUGUGGAUACCCGUAGAGGCCGGACGCGUGUGCGGCUUCCAUUGAACCUUCUACAAAUCCACGUAAAUCAGAUUUGCGGAGACCAUCUACCCGCACAAGGUGAAGAUCUGAUCUUCUUAAUGAUUUUAAAAUGGUUUAAAAUAAUUUAAUUCUAAUCUAUCUACAAACGAAAGGUUUUAAAAUACGUUCAUGCGAUGAACGGAUCCCGCAUAUGUUUUUCCGCUGCAAUCUAAAAAAUUAUUUUGAAAUUUUCAUGGCAUAUGAGGGAUGCUAACAGUGGUAUCAGAGCCAUGGUUAUGUAGAUUAAGAUUAGAAUUAAAUUUUUCAAGGCAUUUUAGAUAUGAAAUUUAAGGGAUUAUGCUUGCUAAAAUUUAUGUAUGUAGAAUUUUCAGCUUGCUGAUUUUUCUGCAUACUAAUUUUUAGAUGCUUAGAUUAAUGAUUCUAAAGCUUUGAUAAUGUGAUUACAAAUAUUUAGAGUCAAAUCUAGCAUGAUCAGCAAGUCAUGAG
rnacentral:lncRNA from 1 species